AAAAAAUGGGUUCAGCUGGAGGCAGUAAACCCCAUGCUGUAUGCAUACCAUAUCCAUCUCAAGGCCAUGUUACUCCGGUGAUGCAACUAGCCAAGCUUCUGCACUCAACAGGCUUCCACAUAACCUUUGUUAACACCGAGUUCAACCAUCGACGACUAAUUCAGUCUAGAGGACCAGACUCCGUUAAGGGCCUGCCGGAUUUCCGAUUUGAGACUAUAACAGAUGGGAUGCCACCAUCUGAUCAUCUUGAUGCGACGCAGGAUGUUCCAUCCUUGUGUGAUUCAACCAGGAAGUACUGUUUGGCUCCAUUUAGAGAGCUACUAAACAAGUUAAAUUCAUCAUCCUCUGGGGUGCCCCCUGUUUCUUGCAUAAUUUCAGAUGGUGUCAUGAGCUUUGGUAUAAAGGCUGCAGAAGAAUUAAGCAUACCCCAGGUUCAAUUAUGGACUGCCUCAGCUUGCAGCUUCAUGUGUUAUUUGCACUUCAGUGAACUCAAACGAAGAGGCAUCGUCCCACACACAGUGAAAAAUUUCCUAAAUGACAGCAUAAGCGAAAACCCAAUUGAUUGGAUCCCUGGAAUGACUAACAUCCGUCUAAAGGAUAUGCCAACUUUUGUCAGAACUACCAAUGAUGAAAUAAUGUUUGAUUUCAUGGGAUCAGAAGCAGAGAACUGCUUGAACUCUUCUGCAAUUGUCUUCAACACCUUCGACGAGUUCGAUCAUGAAGUUUUAGAAGCAAUAAUUGCUUGUAAGUUUCCUCGCAUUUACACAAUAGGUCCACUAUCUUUGCUUGAAAGACAAAUGCCUGAAAGUGAAUCCAAGUCAAUUGCUUCAAGUUUAUGGAAAGAAGAUUCAAACUGCCUUGAAUGGCUAGAUAAAAGAAAACAUAACUCUGUUGUAUAUGUAAAUUAUGGUAGCGUAGCAAUGAUAACAGCGAGACACUUGAAAGAGCUUGCAUGGGGACUUGCAAAUAGUAAAC
rnacentral:misc_RNA from 1 species